rnacentral:rRNA from 1 species
UAGGGAAUCUUCCACAAUGGGCGCAAGCCUGAUGGAGCAACGCCGCGUGUGUGAAGAAGGUCUUCGGAUUGUAAAGCACUUUCGACGGGGACGAUGAUGACGGUACCCGUAGAAGAAGCCCCGGCUAACUUCGUGCCAG